rnacentral:ncRNA from 1 species
GUGUCAUGUGAAAGGAGAGGAGGUUAGCACUCUCCUUGAUAAGGAUGCAAGAGGCUCUUGGGCCUGACAAGCGAAUGGUUAAGGCAUUGCCACCUACUUUGUGGCCUCUAGCCAUUUUUGCAU